CUGUCCUGAACCUAAGGCCUGAUCCUGAAAGGAGCAAUACACAUGAUUCUCAAUGGGUGUCCCAGGUGCUCAGCAGUUUUCAAGAUCAGCCACCUCAUCCCCAAAAGAAAUAUUUGCAUGACUACCCCAACUGAGGAGACAAUUUAUUUUACUUCCAUAUACAAGUCUGGAAAACAAUUCUGCCCUACCACUUAAACCAAUACUUUUAAUACUCAAGCCUGGAUGCCAUGAAAACUUUUGCAAAGCAGAAACCUGGAACCCUCACACAGUAUGUAAAGUCCUAAGAAUCCAAUCAGGGGCAUGGAGCAGAGACAUCUGCCUCAACGCCAAUCCCAGCCCUCAUUCAGUAAGAACAAAGAAGUUGUUCUUUACACCUGGCGAAAAAAAAAGCC